GGUCACAGCUCAGUGGUAGAGCACUUGCCUAGCACUCGUGAGACACUGAGUUCGAACCUCAGCACCA
rnacentral:tRNA from 1 species